rnacentral:rRNA from 1 species
UACGAAGGGGCUAGCGUUGCUCGGAAUUACUGGGCGUAAAGCGCACGUAGGCGGAUUGUUAAGUCGGGGGUGAAAUCCUGGAGCUCAACUCCAGAACUGCCUUCGAUACUGGCGUAUCUAGAGUCCGGGAGAGGUGAGUGGAACUGCGAGUGUAGAGGUGAAAUUCGUAGAUAUUCGCAAGAACACCAGUGGCGAAGGCGGCUCACUGGCCCGGUAUGACGCUGAGGUGCGAAAGCGUGGGAGCAACAGG